AAUACGGGCAAGGGGGAAUCAUUGAAGAAGACAGAAUAUUGAAGUGUUCAAAUGAAUAAAGAAGCUAAAAACCAAAUCAAAAGAAAACUGAGCUCCGAGCAAUGAAGGAAGUUGCAACUGGACAUAAAACUUAAAAUGGCAGAGGGAGGAAUCAAUGCAGACAUGGAGUUCUGAAGCUUUUGCUGUUGCUCUCAAUGCAUUUCUAAGGAAACCCAACAGUAUCCAUUUCACUGACCAAUUGCUUUGUACCCAAAAUUCUAUUUUUCGUAAGAACUUUUCAUUUUCUGACAAAAACUAUUUGUUAAAUAAACAUAACUUCAUAA